rnacentral:lncRNA from 1 species
CUGGCCCCGAGCAGCGUCUCUUCUUCCCGGUAUUCACACCUCCGUCUUCUCAACAUGCUAAUGACUUUUAAACAUGCCUAAUCAUCUCCGAGGAAGGAAGGCAUUCCACACUUUACAAUCACGUGCAUCAACUGGCCCAUCUGGGGAGCUCGCCCCUGGAAAGGGGCACAGGCGAGCUGUCCGUUGAAUUUGCGCUCACAUCUGCUGCCAUCACUGCAGGGCCUCCUGGGCUCCAGAACUGUCCGGGCUCAUGUGUUCCAAUGCCUCAUUUUUGUUGUGGCUGCUUUUAAUUAUAAGCACUUCCACCAAAAUGAAUCACCAUUCAAAAUUCAGCUGGGGAAGCAUUUUUUUUUUCUAUUUAGCUAAACUGAACUGAAGCACAUUUGGGCGAGAAAUGAGAGGUUUAGUAGGAAUCUAUGGCAGGAGAGUGUCCAGUUUGCUGCAGUCAUCUAGAUUCUCUCCUUGGGGAAGUGAGAGCCUGGCUCAGAGUGUACACUGCCCUUCACUCCUCCCCCUGGAGUCCUCUGCCAUUAGUUAACAUUGAUGAGUAAGUGCUCUUAAGACAGCGUGGAAACUGUCCACCCCCUUUUACUUCCAACAUGCCACUGUCUGUCCAGCCAAAUGGCUACUGCUUCCCAGGAAAGUGUUCAGAACACUGGGCUCUGGAAAUGCUGUCACUAUGUGGGCUCCCAAGACAGACACUUGGGGAGAAAUCAGGAUGGAACAUCAUGUAAGUUGGGAAGAGGAUGAGAAUGGAGACAGAGGAGCAGGUGGUUCAGGGAAGGCAUUCAACGGGGAGCAAGCAGGAAAGCCAUGAGAAGACCUGCCUGAGAUCUGAACUCUGCGGUAGAAAAUCAUUUGGUGCAGUCUGUGCCAUGUGCUUGACAGCAGCCAGGAUUGUGCUGGGCCACACACAAAUGGGACUCAUACGAGGACACACAUGGGGAGGUAUCCUACAGCCCUGGGGCUUUCAAAAGCAUAGCCAUUGUCUUUAGCCUUUUUGUUCUUGGCCCAAGAUGAGGCAGAACAUCAUGGCAGAAAGGAAUGAAGGAGGAAAGCUGCUCAGGACUUGGCAAUCAGGAAGCAGAGAGAACUCUGCUCACCAGGAACAACAUAUGAACCCAAAGGCACACCCCCAGUGGCCCACCUCCCCAGCCACGCUCCACCUGCCUACAGUCGCCACCAGGUAAAUCCAUGUCAGGGAUGAAUCCUCUGAUUGUGUUACACCUCUCACAUUCAGUCUCCUCACCGCGGAACAUCCCCACACUGUCUCACACGUGAGCUUCUGGGGCACACCUCAUGGCUACACCACAACAGCUGCUCUUUCCCUUGCCCUCCGUGGGUUUCUCCUCAGCCUCUUCUCCAGAAUGGAAACCAGCCAAACACCAGUAGAAUAAUCCUAUUUUCUACAUGUACAAACUCUGGGAUCCUCCCCAUGACCUUGGAGAACAGAACCAUGCAUAUUCUCCCUUGAACAAUGAGCAAUAGAGGCUCACAGAGGCUUUGCUCCCCUGAUGACCACCAGGAAGAGCGGUCACAUACCCCCUGCACCCAGCCCUGAACACAGCUUACUGCAUCAAAGCACAGUCCUCAUGGCCCCAUCCUUGGACACUAUGCUCAGCAUCCCAGUUUUGUAGAUGGGGAGUCUGAGGCUCCCGAGGGCUUGCUGAACUUCCCAGGCUCCUCAGUGAGGGUGUCAGGGAUUUGGCACCAGCCCUCCAACUCUAUGCUCUUGGCCAUUCUGCCUCCUCUUGUCCUGGAAGUGGAGGAUUCUCACUUUAAAAUAAGGACUCAUGUAGAUGGAGGGGUGCUAGCACGAAUCUCCAUCACGUGUGCCUUGGCACCAGGGCAGCCAAGGCCAUGGGAGGCCAGCCCUACCCUGAAAAGAGGCUCAGCCCUGCUCCCUGGGACUCCCUCUGAUGCUGUGAGAGUCCCUGGGUAUGGCAGCCAGCCCUCUGGGCUCAUCCAAGCCGGAGCUGUGCGUGCCUCUCUGAGUAGUGGCUAAGGUGGGACAAUGCUGGUCAGUGGGUGGGGCCACAGUGAAGGGCUGGGUGGCUGCUGCCCUGAGGCCUCAGUUAGCUUCUCCAGCAGGCUGAGUAAAAAGUCAUGACUCCCGUGAAGCAGCUGCCUGGUAGGGGACGCUGAGUCUCAGAGACGCAGGCCAGUGUGUCUGCGGAGGGAGCACCCAGGUCUCUUCUCUCCAACUUGACACCUCCUGGGAUCUUUUCAGUUUCUGGCGUUUUCCUCCCAGUACCAUCAGCCCCAGUCAGGCAUGGACAUGGCCUUGGCACAGCCCACUCUGGUCCUCCUCCAGCCACAGGAGACUUCCACAGUGCAGAGACUGUGGGGCCAAGGUGGGUCUCCUGAAGCCAAUGCACACUGCUUCUAGAAAAUUCUGCAGAGUCUUGGAGUCCCAGAAUUCCCUGCCCAAACAGCCUUGUUCUGCUUCCAGAUUUCCUCCCUAGCUGCAUACUGCCAGGACCCACCACCAUGGUGAGGAUCAGGGGCUUCUGUGGGAGGGCUGGUGGAAGGUGGCAGCCUGCAGGAGGCCAACUGCACGUGCAGGGUGGGGGCCCAGGGGGCUAGGAGGUGGAACUCAAGCCAGACCCUAAGGGUGUCAUUCAUUCCUCCUCACCCAACCCCAGAAGGGACCUGCCAUGUCCCCAGGUCAGAGACACCAGGGCCAGGAGCCUUGCCAGAGAACACACAGAUGGCCCACCAGAACUUGUGUGGGGUCUGUCUGCCCCCAGAGGCCAGGUCCUAGUCAUUUCAUAGUGAAGCAUUAGAAAAUGCCUCUAGAUGUCAUAAAUCUAUAAGACUUGGUGGUAAAUUAAUCUGUAAAGCAAGAAAAGAAGGAAACGUACAAUGAAGCCUGAAAAAUCAUUUGAUGUACAAAAACUGGGAGUGGAAGCUACGUAUGCUUACCUGACCUGACAAAGGUGCUAGAAACAUUCGGUGGGGAAAAGACAGCCUUUUAAACAAAUGGUGACGGCAAAAGUGGACAUCUGUAUGUCAAGAACUAAAAACUAUUGGAACUAGGUCCCUCUCUCUCACCCUACACGGAAGUCAAACCAAAGCAGAUCAAAGACUUGAGAAUUAGACUAUAAACACUGCAACUGCUAGAAGAAUACCAGGGUCAGCACUCCGACAUAUGGGUGCCCACACCGAUUCCUUAACAAGACCCCUAAAUCUCAAGAAAUAAAACCAGGAAUCAGUUACGUGGGAUGGCAUCAAAGUAAAAAGCUGCUGUACAACAAACAAUCAAAAGCAUAAAGAGUCUACCAAAUGUGAGAAAAAUUUGUGCCAGCUAGCCUCGGGUCGAGGAUUAAUAUCCAUAACAUAAAGAACUCAAAAACCUAAUGAAAAAAAAAACAAUCAAUAAAAGAAAUAAAUAGACAUUUCUCAAAAGAAGAAAUACAAAUGACCCUCAAAUACAUUUUUUAAAUGUUCAAAAUCCUUAGCAAUGUGGGAAAUGCAAAUCAAAACUACACUGAGGUUUCAUCUCAAUUCAGUUGGAGUGGUGGCCAUCAAGAAUACAAAUAAUAAUAAAUGCUGGCAAGAAUGUGGGGGAAAGACACUCAUAUCCUGUUGGUAAAACUGCAAAGGAAUACAAUCUUUCUGAAAAGCAGUCUAAAGACCCACCAAAGCCUAGGAAUGGGGACUCACUAUGACUGAGCAGCUCUCCUGCUCCUUGGUAUUUAUUCAAAAGAACUAAAAUGAGCACACUACAGUGAUACACGCAUACCAGUGUUUAUAGCAGCACAAUUCACAAUAGCCAAGUUACAGAACCAGUCUAGGUACCCAUCAACCAACGAGUGGAUAAAGAAAAUGUGGGUAUGUAUACACAAAGGAAUUUUACUUAGCCAUACAAAAUAAUAAAACUAUGUCAGUUGCUGGUAAAUGGAUGGGACUUCAUAUUCAGUGAAAUAAACCAGACUCAAAAAGUCAAGGGUCAAAUGUUUUUGUUUGUGUGAAGAAGCUAG